AUGGAUGUGAAUGUGAGCCCAUCUUGCCCUCCUCGGACCAGGAGUAAAGUCAAAAAUCUCAUUGGUGAGUUUGCGUCUGGCAUGACCAACAUUCUUGGGAAACUAGUUCAGGGUUGGACAGGCUUGUCUGAGGGUGAAAGUGAUGAGGUUGGCCGGCUUUUCCGUAAUGUUGCUGCAGCUGGUGCGUCAAUACCGAUUGGUGUCCAUGGCCGAUUCGAGUACAAUAGCUCACAGGCGACUAGCGACACCCAGGAGAAUCUAUUUGAUGGCGACUCUGACUCGGGGCACGGUGAGGAUCAUGAUGAGGCUGUUGAGGCCGGUGCUGGCGUAGAUGUAGAUAUGGACAAGCCAAGUGAGGAAGAUGGUGGUGGGCAGGAUGGAACUGAAGUAGGCGCCGAUGGGCAAGACACUGGAAUUGACAAGGUAGGAGAUAAGCAUGAGGCAAAGGUCAUUGGUGGUGCUGGUGGAAGCGGAGGCAGCGUUGUUGCUCUUUCGAAGAGGGCCAUGGAGGGUGUUGGUGAUGGCGUUGAUGUCAUGCUUAAGAAGGCGAGGGUUGAUCCCAUUGUAGCCAGGAGGAGGCAAUACAAGAAGACUGCGGGUAGGAAAAAGUGUCCACCCAAAGCCACAAUGAUCAAGAUAAAGCCCAGGCCCGCAUCAUCGAUGGAAGUUGUAGUUGUAGCCCUUGCACAAAAUUCCAAUACGGCAACCGUCAAUACAGCUAUUAUGAGCAGUUCAGCUACGUCAGUCAGUUUCCUAUCCUCGCCGACAAAUGUGCUUUCUACAGAUGAAGACAUCCAAGACGCUCCUAGGGAUGAUCUCAUAUCACCUAGGAUUGAAGAGGUUGUUCCAACACUAUUAUCUUUAAGAACAUGCGGUGCCCCCAUGUUUGGUUUUGGUAAUUGA
rnacentral:rRNA from 1 species